rnacentral:lncRNA from 1 species
UAUCAAUUUUACUCUUUAUAACUUUUAUGGAAAAACAAAUCAUAGAUAUUGAUUUUAUUAUUUGUGUUAAUGGAAAAUGAUAAUAAUAACUGUAAAAAAUCCAGCUUAAAAGUCCGAUUGAAUUAAAAGUCGUUAAACUUUUAAAAAUUGACAAAUCAUAUGGUCUUUGUAUUUUUGUCCCAAAGUUGUUCAUUAAUUCCAUUUAUAUUCUAUCUAAAUAUUGCACUAUGGUGAUUAUAUUAUAUCUUUCAGCUGGUUUAAUUUUACAGAAUGGUUUAACUCUCUUUUACCGUUCUCCUCUCUUUCUCUCUCUCUAUCUCUUUAUAUGAAACAAUGUAAGGUGCAAACAUUUUUGAUAUGUGUUUAUUAAAAUAUGUAUUAAGUG